rnacentral:tRNA from 1 species
GGGCCUGUAGCUCAGCAAGGCAGAGCAUCGGGCUUUUAACCCGGUGGUCAGGGGUUCAAUUCCCCUCAGGCCCGCCA